rnacentral:rRNA from 1 species
UAUCCCCCCCCUGUCGUGCCUUGCCUCCCACGACUGCAAAACGCGAAGAACCUUACCCACCUUUGACAUGUACGGAAUCCUUUAGAGAUAGAGGAGUGCUCGAAAGAGAGCCGUAACACAGGUGCUGCAUGGCUGUCGUCAGCUCGUGUCGUGAGAUGUUGGGUUAAGUCCCGCAACGAGCGCAACCCUUGCCAUUAGUUGCUACAUUUAGUUGAGCACUCUAAUGGGACUGCCGGUGCAAACCGGAGGAAGGUGGGGAUGACGUCAAGUCCUCAUGGCCCUUAUAGGUGGGGCUACACACGUCAUACAAUGGCUGGUACAAAGGGUUGCCAACCCGCGAGGGGGAGCUAAUCCCAUAAAGCCAGUCGUAGUCCGGAUCGCAGUCUGCAACUCGACUGCGUGAAGUCGGAAUCGCUAGUAAUCGUGGAUCAGAAUGUCACGGUGAAUACGUUCCCGGGUCUUGUACACACCG